UUCAGAGGAACCUGUCCUAUAAUUGAUGAUCCACGAUUUUAUUUACUUAUUUUAUUAGUUUGCAUAUCGCCGUAGGUUGAAUAUUUUAAUAGAAAAAUCAUAUUCAAAAUUUUUUAAUAAAAAAUAAAUCAGGUCAAGAUGUAGUUUAUAAAUAAGAAGAGAUGGGUUACAAUAAAUUUUAUUUAAACGAAUAGUUGAUUGAAAAAUCAAUUUGAAGGUGGAUUUGAUAGUAAUUUUAAUUAAAUUAUUAGAAUGAUUUUAGCUCUAAAAUGUGUACAUAUCGCCCGUCAUUUUCAUUAUAAAAUGAAACAAGUCGUAACAUAGUAGGUGUACUGGAAAGUGUACCUAGAAUGACAAACUAGAGCUUGUUAAAAAGCAUUUUAUUUACACUAAAAAGUUUAUUGUGAAAAUCAAUAUAGUUUGAAUUUUUAUAAUUAUUAAAAAUGUAAUUUUUAGUCUAUUUAAAUAAAAUAAUUUAUAUUUUUAUUAAUAUAAUUGAAAAAAUUUUUUUUAUUAUAGUUAAUUAGUAUUGUGAAAGAAAUUAUUUAAGUUUUAUAAAGAAUAAUUAAUUUUUAGUACCUUGUGUAUCAGGGUUUAUUAAAUAAUAUUUAAAUAUUUAAUUUUCUCGAAUUUAAAAGAGUUAUAAGAGUAGAAUUUUUAUUGUUAAAUAAAUAUUAUAAAUAUUCUUAUAGAAAUGAAAUGUUAUUCGUUUUUAAAUAUAUCUAGUUUUUUAAGAAAUAAAUUUAAUUUACUUAAUAUAAAUAUUUUUUUUAUUUUUUAAUUUAAUAUUAAUAUUAUGAAAUAUUUUAAGGGAUGAGCUUUAAAGUAAAGUUUUAUAAAUAUAAAAUUUAUUUGAAUAAAUAGGAUUAAAAUUUUUCAAUUUUAGUAAUAUGUUAUAAUUAUUUCAAAUUUAAAUAAAAUUUAUCUAUAUUUUAAAUUUUUUAUUAAAAUAUUAAUUUAAAUUUUUAAAAUUAAGUAAUAAUGAUAAAAUUAGUAUAAGAUUUUGUAUAGUAAUUUAUUUUAGGUAAAAACAUGGCCUUUUGAUUAUAAUUUUAGGUCUAACCUGCCCAAUGAUAAAUUGAAUGGCCGCGGUAUUUUGACCGUGCAAAGGUAGCAUAAUCAUUUGUUUUUUAAUUGAAAGCUGGAAUGAAGGGUUGAAUGAGAAAAUAACUGUCUCAAUUUAAAUUUAUUAAAACUUUAUUUUUAAGUUAAAAAGCUUAAAUGAAUUUUGAAGACGAGAAGACCCUAUAGAGUUUAAUAUUUAUUUAGUUUAGAUAUUUUGGUAAUAAUUUUUUUAAAUUAUAUAUUUAUUUGAUUGGGGUGAUAAAAAAAAUAAAUAAACUUUUUUUUUAUUUAAUCAUUGAUUAAUGAAUUAUUGAUCCUUUAUAAAGAUUAAAAGAAUAAAUUACCUUAGGGAUAACAGCGUAAUUUUUUUUUAGAGUUCUAAUCGAAAAAAAAGGUUGCGACCUCGAUGUUGGAUUAAAAUUAAUUUUUGGUGUAGAAGCUAAAUUUAUUGGGUCUGUUCGACCCUUAAAAUUUUACUUGAUCUGAG
rnacentral:rRNA from 1 species